rnacentral:rRNA from 1 species
UGUGUAGGCGGACGGCUAAGUACCUUGUGAAAUCCCACGGCUCAACCGUGGAACUGCUUGGUAUACUGGUCGUCUUGAGCCAUCUAGGGGCGAGCGGAACAAACGGUGGAGCGGUGAAAUGCGUAGAUAUCGUUUGGAACGCCAACGGUGAAAACAGCUCGCUGGGGAUGUGCUGACGCUGAGACACGAAAGCCAGGGGAGCAAACG